rnacentral:rRNA from 1 species
UUUAAAGAGAGUUUGAUCCUGGCUCAGGACGAACGCUGGCGGCGUGCCUAAUACAUGCAAGUCGAACGAACGGAGGAAGAGCUUGCUCUUCCAAUGUUAGUGGCGGACGGGUGAGUAACACGUGGGCAACCUGCCUGUAAGUUGGGGAUAACUCCGGGAAACCGGGGCUAAUACCGAAUGAUAGAGUGUGGCGCAUGCCACGCUUUUGAAAGAUGGUUUCGG